GUUGAACAGAAGCUGUUGGGAGUAUUUGGGUUCUCAGCUUUGUUACCUUUUCUUACAGAGACUGAAGUUUCCUAAGGUAUCUGUUCCUGGCAAGCAGCUGGUCUCUGCAGCCGCUCUGGGGCUUGCAGCCCACAGGCUCCUGGAAAGCAGCUUUGAACAUAACCACAGUGUGAGACUGCACGCAGCAGAGCAAGCUGCUAUCGAUGUGAUAGAAGCAAAGAGCGUGGAAAAACACCCAACAGCAAGCCUCUAAAUCUUGCUGUUCAGCAGCAGUGUAGUUCAUGUACAUGAAUUACAGAAGGACUGCCUUGCCUAAGAAGCCUCUUGUGCCCUACAAUUCCUGCCUGAAUAAAUGAAUGGUGAGGUUUGCACAAAGCCUGUGUGACAGUGGUGCAGCUCUGACCAGUGUGGGAACAGUCUGAUGGUAGAAAGCAAUGCCUGCCUGCCUCUGAAGGUAUGGGUAAAGGAGCAGCAUCUGGCAGACUGAGUGUGUUGAGGUUGCCAGUGUUUAAUACCACAGCUGCAAAGAACUUGCCUUUAGAGGACUUCAGGCUGAAUACAUUCAUAAUUCUUAACUUUUGUACUUUGUACUACCUAUUUGAACUGUGACUUCAAAUUAAUUUGAAUUCAAAUUCAAAUUACCUCAAAAUAAAUUCCUUUUCACAUGAUGUGUGGCACUGAUGCAUGUUAUGUAUAUCAUUUCAGUGGUAGUUCAUAACUAGGAAUGUAUCUAAGCACAAAUGAACAAAUAAAAUUUUGUACAAAAGGUAUGUAAGUUUCCAAAAUCUUCAAAACUUGCCCACAUUUUUUGCAUAGAUUUAUUGCCUUUGUUCCCUGUAGAUCAAAUAUGAGCACACAAAGGCAAUG